rnacentral:miRNA from 1 species
GCCUCCUUAUAAACUGUCAGGGGCUGGAGAGAUGGCUCCUCAGUUAGAUCACUGGCUCCUUUUCCAGAGGACCCAGGUUCAAUUCCCUGCUUCCACAAGGCAGCC